rnacentral:rRNA from 1 species
AUACGGGGGGUGCAGGCGUUAAUCGGAAUUACUGGGCGUAAAGCGCGCGUAGGCGGUUUGCUCAGUCGGAUGUGAAAGCCCAGGGCUCAACCUUGGAACUGCAUACGAUACUGGCAAACUAGAGUGUGAGAGAGGAUAGUGGAAUUUCCGGUGUAGCGGUGAAAUGCGUAGAUAUCGGAAGGAACAUCAGUGACGAAGGCGACUGUCUGACUCAACACUGACGCUGAGGUGCGAAAGCGUGGGGAGCAAACAGGAUUAGAUACCCCAGUAGUCC